rnacentral:rRNA from 1 species
CGACAUUAAGUACUUGUUAGGGUAACGCAUUUCCAACACGGCAAUUUUCCGCGCUUUCAUAUACAAGAGCCCGAAAAUUGAACCUUAGACCAGGUUCCCAGGCCCCUACGGGGCGCACCGGCGCGCAAAACUCCCCAAUUCGAGGAAAUCGCGAUCGGUGGGACCCCAGGUGCCACUCUUAACCGGGUGCUUUUUCUAAGGGUAAAAAAGCCUUUGGAAUAAGGGCUGGGCAAGACCGGUUCCCAGCCGCCGCGGUAACACCGGCAGCUCUAGUGGUAGCCAUUUUUAUUGGGCCUAAAGCGUUCGUAGCCGGUUUGAUAAGUCUCUGGUGAAAUCCUGUAGCUUAACUGUGGGAAUUGCUGGAGAUACUAUUAGACUUGAGGUCGGGAGAGGUUAGCGGUACUCCCAGGGUAGGGGUGAAAUCCUGUAAUCCUGGGAGGACCACCUGUGGCGAAGGCGGCUAACUGGAACGAACCUGACGGUGAGGGACGAAAGCCAGGGGCGCGAACCGGAUUAGAUACCCGGGUAGUCCUGGCCGUAAACGAUGUGGACUUGGUGUUGGAAUGGCUUUGAGUUGUUCCGGUGCCGAAGGGAAGCUGUUAAGUCCACCGCCUGGGAAGUACGGUCGCAAGAUUGAAACUUAAAGGAAUUGGCGGGGGAGCACCACAACGCGUGGAGCCUGCGGUUUAAUUGAAUUCAACGCCGGACAUCUCACCAGGAGCGACAGCUGUAUGAUAAUCAGGUUGAUGACCUUAUUUGACUAGCUGAGAGGAGGUGCAUGGCCGCCGUCAGCUCGUACCGUGAGGCGUCCUGUUAAGUCAGGCAACGAGCGAGACCCAAAUCACUAGUGGAUACGCUAGU